rnacentral:rRNA from 1 species
GACAGAGGGUGCAAACGUUGUUCGGAAUUACUGGGCGUAAAGCGCGUGUAGGCGGCUAUGUAAGUCGGUCGUGAAAUCCCACGGCUCAACCGUGGAAGUGCACCCGAAACUGCGUAGCUAGAGUCCUGGAGAGGAAGGUGGAAUGCUUGGUGUAGAGGUGAAAUUCGUAGAUAUCAAGCGGAACACCGGUGGCGAAGGCGGCCUCCUGGACAGUGACUGACGCUGAGACGCGAAAGCGUGGGGAGCAAACAGG